rnacentral:rRNA from 1 species
UACAGAGGGUGCAAGCGUUAAUCGGAAUUACUGGGCGUAAAGCGCACGUAGGCGGUUUUUUAAGUCAGAUGUGAAAGCCCCGGGCUCAACCUGGGAAUUGCAUUUGAAACUGGAAAACUAGAGUGUGUGAGAGGGGGGUAGAAUUCCAAGUGUAGCGGUGAAAUGCGUAGAGAUUUGGAGGAAUACCAGUGGCGAAGGCGGCCCCCUGGCACAACACUGACGCUCAGGUGCGAAAGCGUGGGGAGCAAACAGGAUUAGAUACCCUGGUAGUCCACGCCGUAAACGAUGUCUACUAGCUGUUCGUGACCUUGUGUCGUGAGUAGCGCAGCUAACGCAUUAAGUAGACCGCCUGGGGAGUACGGUCGCAAGAUUAAAACUCAAAUGAAUUGACGGGGGCCCGCACAAGCGGUGGAGCAUGUGGUUUAAUUCGACGCAACGCGAAGAACCUUACCUACUCUUGACAUCUACAGAAGACUGCAGAGAUGCGGUUGUGCCUUCGGGAACUGUAAGACAGGUGCUGCAUGGCUGUCGUCAGCUCGUGUUGUGAAAUGUUGGGUUAAGUCCCGCAACGAGCGCAACCCUUAUCCUUAGUUGCCAGCACGUUAUGGUGGGAACUCUAGGGAGACUGCCGGUGAUAAACCGGAGGAAGGUGGGGACGACGUCAAGUCAUCAUGGCCCUUACGAGUAGGGCUACACACGUGCUACAAUGGUAUGUACAGAGGGAGGCAAGCCUGCGAGGGUGAGCGGAUCUCUUAAAGCAUAUCGUAGUCCGGAUCGCAGUCUGCAACUCGACUGCGUGAAGUCGGAAUCGCUAGUAAUCGCAAAUCAGAAUGUUGCGGUGAAUACGUUCCCGGGCCU